GGAGGAGAAUAUAUUAAGACUAGCAGCAAUGUAGCUUGAGCAAUCAGACUUGCUGCAACAGUAUAACUAGUUGACAUUAAAUUCUCUACAAUGAAAUUCCUGGUAGCAGUGCUUCUGGUGAUCACGAUGGCUCUCCUCCUGGCAGCCCCCUCCGAAGCUAUUCGAUGUCAGAGAGACUCCCAUUGCGCAGGGAUAAUCCUCUGUUACAGAGGAAUUGCCAAAUGCGUCAACUAUCACUGCACUUGCUCGACUGACAUGUGGAGCUGAGGAGGCUCGUCCUGAACGUUGUUAAAUAUUUUGGAUAAAUAAAUUGAUAAAUGUCA